rnacentral:rRNA from 1 species
UACAGAGGUCCCAAGCGUUGUUCGGAUUCAUUGGGCGUAAAGGGUGCGUAGGCGGCGCGGUAAGUCGGGUGUGAAAUCUCGGGGCUUAACUCCGAAACUGCAUUCGAUACUGCCGUGCUUGAGGACUGGAGGGAGACUGGAAUUUACGGUGUAGCGGUGAAAUGCGUAGAUAUCGUAAGGAAGACCAGUGGCGAAGGCGGGUCUCUGGACAGUUCCUGACGCUGAGGCACGAAGGCCAGGGAGCAAACGGG